rnacentral:rRNA from 1 species
GUAUAAGCCCUUCGGGGGAAAGAUUUAUCGGGAAGGGAUUGGCCCGCGUUAGAUUAGAUAGUUGGUGGGGUAAUGGCCUACCAAGUCUACGAUCUAUAGCUGGUUUUAGAGGAUGAUCAGCAACACUGGGACUGAGACACGGCCCAGACUCCUACGGGAGGCAGCAGUGGGGAAUCUUAGACAAUGGGCGCAAGCCUGAUCUAGCCAUGCCGCGUGUGUGAUGAAGGUCUUAGGAUCGUAAAGCACUUUCGCCAGGGAUGAUAAUGACAGUACCUGGUAAAGAAACCCCGGCUAACUCCGUGCCAGCAGCCGCGGUAAUACGGAGGGGGUUAGCGUUGUUCGGAAUUACUGGGCGUAAAGCGUACGUAGGCGGAUCAGAAAGUUAGGGGUGAAAUCCCGAGGCUCAACCUCGGAACUGCCUCUAAAACUCCUGGUCUUGAGUUCGAGAGAGGUGAGUGGAAUUCCAAGUGUAGAGGUGAAAUUCGUAGAUAUUUGGAGGAACACCAGUGGCGAAGGCGGCUCACUGGCUCGAUACUGACGCUGAGGUACGAAAGUGUGGGGAGCAAACAGGAUUAGAUACCCUGGUAGUCCACACCGUAAACGAUGAAUGCCAGUCGUCGGGCAGUAUACUGUUCGGUGACACACCUAACGGAUUAAGCAUUCCGCCUGGGGAGUACGGUCGC